rnacentral:lncRNA from 1 species
CACAAAGAUCGUGUUAGUUACAAUUGAGUCAGUUAGUUUUAGAUUAGAUAGUAGUAUGAAUGCUGAUUAAAAGACUACUUAGAUUAAUAAGAAAAUAACUAAAUAAAGAUAAUUAAUUAAAGAUUGGAUGCAAGUAUGAAAAUAGAUUCUCAGGAUCUUAAUUAUUUUCUUGUUAGACAGCUGGUACUCUUCUUAACAUGCCUUGGAUUAGUAUCUAAUCAAUAAAAAUAUAACCUAUCUUAGAGAGCAUAGUUUAUACCCUU